rnacentral:rRNA from 1 species
AUUGAACGCUGGCGGCAGGCCUAACACAUGCAAGUCGAGCGGAUGAAGGGAGCUUGCUCCUGGAUUCAGCGGCGGACGGGUGAGUAAUGCCUAGGAAUCUGCCUGGUAGUGGGGGAUAACGUCCGGAAACGGGCGCUAAUACCGCAUACGUCCUGAGGGAGAAAGUGGGGGAUCUUCGGACCUCACGCUAUCAGAUGAGCCUAGGUCGGAUUAGCUAGUUGGUGGGGUAAAGGCCUACCAAGGCGACGAUCCGUAACUGGUCUGAGAGGAUGAUCAGUCACAUGGAAGCGGAGACGGGGCCAAGACUCUUAGGGGAGGCGCAAGAGGGGAAUUUGGGCAAUUGGGGAAGGGCCUGACCCGACCAGGCGGGGUGUGAAAAGGGGUUCUUGGGUUUGUAAGCACUUUUAAGGGGGGGGAAAGGGCAGUAAGUUAUUACGUUGGUUUUUUGACGUUACAAAAAAAAAAAGCCCCGGCAAACUCCGUG